rnacentral:rRNA from 1 species
UACGUAGGGGGCAAGCGUUGUCCGGAUUUAUUGGGCGUAAAGAGCGUGUAGGCGGCUAUACAGGUCCGCUGUGAAAACUCGAGGCUCAACCUCGAGACGUCGGUGGAAACCGUAUGGCUAGAGUCCGGAAGAGGAGAGUGGAAUUCCGUGGUGUAGCGGUGAAAUGCGCAGAUAUCAGGAAGAACACCCGUGGCGAAGGCGGCUCUCUGGGACGGUACUGACGCUGAGACGCGAAAGCGUGGGGAGCGAACAGG